rnacentral:rRNA from 1 species
AUUGAACGCUGGCGGUAUGCUUUACACAUGCAAGUCGAACGGUAACAGGUUAAGCUGACGAGUGGCGAACGGGUGAGUAAUACAUCGGAACAUGCCCAGUCGUGGGGGAUAACUAUCCGAAAGGAUAGCUAAUACCGCAUACGAUCCAAGGAUGAAAGCGGGGGACCGAAAGGCCUCGCGCGAUUGGAGUGGCCGAUGUCAGAUUAGGUAGUUGGUGGGGUAAAGGCUCACCAAGCCAACGAUCUGUAGCUGGUCUGAGAGGACGACCAGCCAAACUGGAACUGAGACACGGUCCAGACUCCUACGGGAGGCAGCAGUGGGGAAUUUUGGACAGUGGGCGCAAGCCUGAUCCAGCAAUACCGCGUGCAGGAAGAAGGCCUUCGGGUUGUAAACUGCUUUUGUACGGAACGAAAAGGUUUCCAUUAAUACUGGGAGCUCAUGACGGUACCGUAAGAAUAAGCACCGGCUAACUACGUGCCAGCCGCCGCAGUAA